CGUGACGCCUUGUGAAAAUCGACUCCCGAUUGACCCAAAAGCGUUCGAAGUUGAGCUUUUAUUCCAACCUUCCCACCAGAUGCCUGAGUACCAGGACGUCUCAGAACUCACUUGACUUCUCCCAGUUUGACCAGCAGACUGAAGCCCUGCCUGUGGCCAGUGUUCCCAGUAUAGAUAGAUAGAAACUAUAUUCAUUCCCUUGGGAUUUACCCUCAGGGAAAUUGUAGUAUAAUAAAAAUAAAUAAAUGUGUUUUAUUGCACACUUUUAUUCUUUCACUUUUUGUGUACUCUAAAGAGAAAUAUCUCAAUCUGAAGUGUUAGUUUAUUAAGAGAGCUUAUGUAAUGAAAUAAAAAUAAUUUACUCUGUUAGAAUAUUUUCACCCUUUGUCUAUGCUGUCCAUAGCAGAGUUUACUUGUUGUGUAAAAUGUUUUUCUGCAAAAAAGUAAAAAAAUAAAAU